rnacentral:rRNA from 1 species
ACGGGGAGGAGCCCAGAGCCUGAAUCAGUGUGUGUGUUAGUGGAAGCGUCUGGAAAGGCGCGCGAUACAGGGUGACAGCCCCGUACACAAAAAUGCACAUGCUGUGAGCUCGAUGAGUAGGGCGGGACACGUGGUAUCCUGUCUGAAUAUGGGGGGACCAUCCUCCAAGGCUAAAUACUCCUGACUGACCGAUAGUGAACCAGUACCGUGAGGGAAAGGCGAAAAGAACCCCGGCGAGGGGAGUGAAAAAGAACCUGAAACCGUGUACGUACAAGCAGUGGGAGCACGCUUAGGCGUGUGACUGCGUACCUUUUGUAUAAUGGGUCAGCGACUUAUAUUCUGUAGCAAGGUUAACCGAAUAGGGGAGCCGAAGGGAAACCGAGUCUUAACUGGGCGUUAAGUUGCAGGGUAUAGACCCGAAACCCGGUGAUCUAGCCAUGGGCAGGUUGAAGGUUGGGUAACACUAACUGGAGGACCGAACCGACUAAUGUUGAAAAAUUAGCGGAUGACUUGUGGCUGGGGGUGAAAGGCCAAUCAAACCGGGAGAUAGCUGGUUCUCCCCGAAAGCU